GAUGAACGCUAGCGGCAGGCUUAACACAUGCAAGUCGAGGGGCAGCGUGGAGCAGCAAUGCUCUGACGGCGACCGGCGGAAGGGUGCGUAACACGUGAGCGACUUGCCCGUCACAGGGGGAUAACCGGCGGAAACGGCGACUAAUACCCCAUACGAUGUGAUGCUGCAUGGCAUUGCAUUGAAAGAUUCAUCGGUGGCGGAUAGGCUCGCGGGACAUUAGCUAGACGGCGGGGCAACGGCCCACCGUGGCGACGAUGUCUAGGGGUUCUGAGAGGAAGGCCCCCCACACUGGGACUGAGACACGGCCCAGACUCCUACGGGAGGCAGCAGUGAGGAAUAUUGGUCAAUGGGCGGAAGCCUGAACCAGCCAUGCCGCGUGAAGGACUAAGGGCCCUACGGGUCGUAAACUUCUUUAGACGCAGAGCAAUAAGGUCCACGGCGUGGACCGAUGAGAGUAUGCGUAGAAUAAGCAUCGGCUAAC
rnacentral:rRNA from 1 species